rnacentral:rRNA from 1 species
GAUGAACGCUAGCUACAGGCUUAACACAUGCAAGUCGAGCGGGGUGAUGGUGCUUGCACUAUCACUUAGCGGCGGACGGGUGAGUAAUGCUUAGGAAUCUGCCUAUUAGUGGGGGACAACAUCUCGAAAGGGAUGCUAAUACCGCAUACGUCCUACGGGAGAAAGCAGGGGAUCACUUGUGACCUUGCGCUAAUCGAUGAGCCUAAGUCGGAUUAGCUAGUUGGUGGGGUAAAGGCCUACCAAGGCGACGAUCUGUAGCGGGUCUGAGAGGAUGAUCCGCCACACUGGGACUGAGACACGGCCCAGACUCCUACGGGAGGCAGCAGUGGGGAAUAUUGGACAAUGGGGGGAACCCUGAUCCAGCCAUGCCGCGUGUGUGAAGAAGGCCUUAUGGUUGUAAAGCACUUUAAGCGAGGAGGAGGCUCUUUUGGUUAAUACCCAAGAUGAGUGGACGUUACUCGCAGAAUAAGCACCGGCUAACUCUGUGCCAGCCGCCGCCGUAA